rnacentral:rRNA from 1 species
AACGUAGGAGACAAACGUUAUCCGGAGUUACUGGGCGUAAAGGGCGUGUAGGUGGUAAAGUAAGUCUGGCGUGAAAUUUUUCGGCUUAACCGGGAAAGGUCGUCGGAUACUGCUUAACUAGAGGACGGUAGAGGCGUGUGGAAUUCCGGGUGUAGUGGUGAAAUGCGUAGAGAUCCGGAGGAACACCAGUGGCGAAGGCGACACGCUGGGCCGUACCUGACACUGAUGCGCGACAGCAUGGGGAGCAAACAGG